rnacentral:lncRNA from 1 species
CUAUGAUAUGCCCAGCAGGUUCUAUAUUUAUAACAAUAUAUGAUUUGAAGAAGUAUAACAGUUCAAAAUUUAACUGAUUGUUGCUACCAUUUUUGGAAUUUCUUUUUCAACCAUUUCUGGACUUUUUAUUUCUGUCAGUCAUAAAGACUUAGAAACUUUGUUUACAUAUGAGAUAGCAGAUCAGCCUAUUCAAUAUCCUAGGAGUAUGCAUCGCAUCCUAUUAGUGCUCACAUUCACUAAACGUUAAUAUUUUAAUUAACCAAACAUCGAUCCCUUUUCGGGAUACAUAACUUCAGUAUAAGAUGUCUUACCAAAUCAAUUUGGUUUAACACAACAGUUUAUGUUCAAUAAACAAUAUCAUAUGAAUAAACAAUUCAUUUCUUAGUUAUGCUGAAGCUAUAGCAAUAACUUUACAAUAAAUGGUAAUUCAAGUUUAGGUUUGGUAUAUCAUAUCAACAGCAAUUCAAGAUAGACAUCUUGUUUUAACAAAUAAUUUAGGUUUAGUAGACUUGCAAAAGUAAUCAUGGUUAAGAAACUUGCUUGAUAAGAGAUUUAAGGAUAGAGAGCUUGCGUAAGUAAUUUAGGGUAGGGAACUUGCCUGAGCUAAGAUCAAUCAAGCAAUGUUCUUUGAUUCGUUAAUAAACACCUAAGAUGUUCAUUCAUAUAAAUCUAACACAUUAGUAUUGAUAACAAUACUCAAAUACAUAAACUACAUAUGUUUGGGUUAAGUUUGAUACGGUUUUGGUGUCCAAAGACUUUACCAAAUAUUUAAUAAGUUGAUAAAUCGACUAAAUUUUAUUUAUUAACUUUAUUAUUGUGACGCCCCAAAAUCUGGGUACUUUCAACCCACAGAUAUGGUGCUACACGGUACUCAUCACUAUGCAUUCAUUCCAUUAAAACAACAUCAAAAUGAACAUAAUUACUACAUUCUUAUUACAAUAAUAAUAAUCAUUCCUUUCUUAGGUUCUGAAACUGAUACAUUCUUUGUUUAUCAUAUUAUGAUUCUUACAAACAUAUUAGUCUAUUACAGGAUAAUCUACUUAUCCAUCUUAGCUUUGCCUUUAUCCCUACAGGGAUCAUCAGUUCUUUCGGCCUUAGCUGCAAUCAUAUAAUUUAAGCAAGAAUUGAGCAUAAUUAGCUCAGCAAGUCUAGCAAAAGAUAAUACAAAUUCCACGUCGAGAAUUAUAUGAUUAUCUUCAAUAACUGAACAAGUAGUUACGAAGUACUAUGAAACAUUUACUAGCAGUUCUCAUUUCAUAACAACAAUUCCAAAGUAUAUAUAAUAACUUAGUAAUUCUGAAUUGGUCGAAAGACCAUAAGCAUUCUCUUUUGGUUUUCAUUCAUGAAAAAAGGACAACCCGGAACUAAGUCCAUAAGUCCGAUAUAUCUUACGAGCAUUUCUAGGUGAUCAGCCUAUAGUACUCUAUGUUGAUCAACACUCAUCUGUUAAACGUGUUUACGUUUAAGUUUUGGCAACCUCAUGUGCCCAUCGAAUAAUCGAUGUAAAAUACAUUUGUUUGUUCAACUCAAGCAUACUUUGAAUCCGUACCAAAUAUUUGGCAUAGGAUAGCGUUAAUAGUUCAAUAUCAAAAGACUUGUUAAACAAAUCAAUCUAACUCUUAAU